UUCGCCCUUAGAGUUUGAUCCUGGCUCAGGACGAACGCUGGCGGCGUGCCUAACACAUGCAAGUCGAGCGGGGACAGGUAGCGGAAGUUCUUCGGGAUGGAAGGUAUUUGUUCUAGCGGCGGACGGGUGAGUAACGCGUGAGUAACCUGCCCUUCACAGGGGGAUAAGAUACCGAAAGGUGUUCUAAUACCGCAUGAGACCACAGAGCCACAUGGCUAAGGGGUCAAAGGAGCAAUCCGGUGAAAGAUGGACUCGCGUCUGAUUAGCUAGUUGGUGAGGUAACGGCCCACCAAGGCGACGAUCAGUAGCCGAUCUGAGAGGGUGAUCGGCCACAUUGGGACUGAGACACGGCCCAAACUCCUACGGGAGGCAGCAGUGGGGAAUAUUGGGCAAUGGGGGAAACCCUGACCCAGCAACGCCGCGUGGAGGAAGAAGGUUUUCGGAUCGUAAACUCCUGUCCUUGGUGAAGAGGAGAAGACGGUAGCCAAGGAGGAAGCCCCGGCUAACUACGUGCCAGCAGCCGCGGUAAUACGUAGGGGGCAAGCGUUGUCCGGAAUGAUUGGGCGUAAAGGGCGCGUAGGCGGCUCGGUAAGUCUGGAGUGAAAGUCCUGCUUUUAAGGUGGGAAUUGCUUUGGAUACUGUCGGGCUUGAGUGCAGGAGAGGUUAGUGGAAUUCCCAGUGUAGCGGUGAAAUGCGUAGAGAUUGGGAGGAACACCAGUGGCGAAGGCGACUAACUGGACUGUAACUGACGCUGAGGCGCGAAAGUGUGGGGAGCAAACAGGAUUAGAUACCCUGGUAGUCCACACUGUAAACGAUGAAUGCUAGGUGUAGGGGGUAUCGACCCCUUCUGUGCCGCAGUUAACACAGUAAGCAUUCCGCCUGGGGAGUACGGCCGCAAGGUUGAAACUCAAAGGAAUUGACGGGGGCCCGCACAAGCAGCGGAGCAUGUGGUUUAAUUCGAAGCAACGCGAAGAACCUUACCAGGUCUUGACAUCGUAUGCAUAACUUAGAGAUAAGUGAAAUCCCUUCGGGGACAUAUAGACAGGUGGUGCAUGGUUGUCGUCAGCUCGUGUCGUGAGAUGUUGGGUUAAGUCCCGCAACGAGCGCAACCCUUACCUUUAGUUGCUACGCAAGAGCACUCUAAAGGGACUGCCGUUGACAAAACGGAGGAAGGUGGGGAUGACGUCAAACCAUCAUGCCCCUUAUGACCUGGGCUACACACGUACUACAAUGGCAAUUAACAAAGAGAAGCAAGACAGCGAUGUGGAGCAAAUCUCGAAAAAUUGUCCCAGUUCAGAUUGCAGGCUGCAACUCGCCUGCAUGAAGUCGGAAUUGCUAGUAAUCGUGGAUCAGCAUGCCACGGUGAAUACGUUCCCGGGCCUUGCACACACCGCCCGUCA
rnacentral:rRNA from 1 species